rnacentral:misc_RNA from 1 species
AAGUUGUAACAAGAUUUCCGUAGAUCAAGUUUAGCCUGCCACAGCGGGUCAACCUCGCUAGUCUCCACUGGAGGCGACACACUCAACCUGUGGGAAGGCCCGUCCCGGGAAAUCCACAGCCCACUUCCCUCGCCCGGAAGUCGGUUUAGAGGCUUAAUAAGUAUGGAUGCUGAUCUCAGCACUUGAGAUAGAGUCCGUCCCAGCUGGUAACCACUGGGGGCAAACGGAACCUGCGGAAGGAUCAUUACAGAAUUGACGGCUUUGCGAAGCCAGAUUCUCACCCCAUAUAUACACUAUCUCUAUUGCUUUGGCAGGCGCCUGGCGCCCGCCAGAGGGAAAACCUUUGAAUCUCUGCAGUCUGAGUAUGAUAGAAUAGUCAAAA